rnacentral:rRNA from 1 species
UACGUAGGGUGCGAGCGUUGUCCGGAAUUAUUGGGCGUAAAGGGCUCGUAGGCGGUUUGUCGCGUCGGCUGUGAAAACUCGGGGCUCAACCCCGAGCCUGCAGUCGAUACGGGCAGACUAGAGUGCGGUAGGGGAGACUGGAAUUCCUGGUGUAGCGGUGAAAUGCGCAGAUAUCAGGAGGAACACCGGUGGCGAAGGCGGGUCUCUGGGCCGUAACUGACGCUGAGGAGCGAAAGCGUGGGGAGCAAACAGG